GGCUAAACGCACGGAGAUAGGAGCGGAACAUCUAAAGUGAUUAGAUCUUGUAACAUUGCAUUUUGGACGCACAUGUUUAAGGGCGCUCGGCGCCAGCUCGCUGACGUCGAGUUGCAACUACCGUCGCGUAUCACUUUUCGCUUAAAACCCCCCCAAAUAUCGCCUCCCUGAUCUAACCGCUGUGCAAAGAAAGGGCUGAUACAUUAAGAACUGCCGGCAACAUUAUUGCUGAUGCGUUGCUCGUAGAUCGUGUAUGACAAGACCUACCACUUUAAACGGCAAGCUACAAAGCUGCAGAAUAUGAACCAAAGUUGAAACUUCCGACCCCUUAAAAUCAAGGGCAACUUUCUGAACAUUUGAGCCCGUGUUAGAUGAUGAAUAAAUAAUACUAUGAGCCAGAAGGCGUUCUUCCAAAGCUUCAUACAUGGAGAGUACAAAUAUAAAUAAAAAGUGAUACAAAAUUAAUACCAGAACCUGGCUUUCUUAUGAAGAUUAUACAUCAGCCUAAAGAAACACCAAAGGCAUCAUCAAAAGUAAUCAAGUAACAAAUGUGAUUAGCAGAUAAAUUGUUAAUGUAUUUAUAUUCUUCACCUCGUUGUUUUAAAGAAGACUUGAAACGUUAAUGUUUCUGUAAAUGCCCUGCUGUACAAAUAUUUUUGAGCUUGUGUGCAAGUUUCACUUUUACCGUUGUUACAAGCCAUACCUCAUAUACCUCCUACUUUAGUGGUGUCCUGUUUUAACAUUAUUCUGUUAUCUUUAUGAAGGGGGCAACAUUAAAUAAAUGUAGAGGGAUUAACAGUCGCUUUCCUCUCCCCAAAGGUGUCUUGGUUAACCUAAUGUGUUUCAGCAACAAUCUAGUACUUUCCUAGUUAUGUUUUCAAGUAUGUAUUCAAGAGAGUUAGAUGUAGCUCUUAGGGCUAAUGGAAUCAAGGGACAUGGUGAGAAAGCAGGAACGGGUACGGAUUUUGGAUGAUCAACCAUGAUCAUAUUGAAUGGCCGUGCCGUUUGAUGGGCCGAAUGGCCUACUCCUGCUAUUUUAUGUGUUUUUUCUAUGUUUACUGAGUUUGUGUUUUUAAUUCUAGAUAUAUUUAAUAAAUUCCCCAAGGCCUUGGUGGGAUUCAAACACUUGCAUGUGGAUCAAUAGUACAGGCAUCAGGAUGCAUAUCCUGUAACUUAACUAUGAUGCUAACCCUACUCAUUCCCAAAUACUUUGCAUUAAACAAAAAUCAAAGUCAUGAUUUCUGGGUCACAAUCUCUUUGGAAGGUCAACGAUUUGAGGAUUGUGAGUUAUUUUGCAUUUUCUGUAUGUUUGCCUGCAUAGCAACAGCAUUAUUUUGAUACUAAGAAUGGCACCUAAAGUACUAGCAUGGAAAAGAUACCAGGAUCAAAGAAACCAUUGUAAUUGUCAAUAUAUGUUAUUAUUAGUUAUCUCUAAAUACAAUGAAUCAUCUGUAGAAUGGUCUUGUAUCAGAUAUAAAUGUUAAGUGGUAAUUUAUAUACAAUAUGAUAGAGAACCUAACAAAUGUCAUUGAUUCUUUAUGUGACAGGAACAUGGUGAACCUUUGUUGAGGUCUGUGUUCAGUGCUGAACCUACAGUGCAUUAUUUAUUACACUAACUUUGCAUUUACAUUCACGUGUAAAAAAACAUGGUUUUCUCUCAAAUCUGAGGUAGCGCAGGCCACAGGGGAAAGGUAACCCAAAAAAUUAUAAUAUCAAAAAUAAAAUUGUGUGAAUACUGAUAGUCAUAAAUAAAUAAAAAAACAGAAACAGUCAGCUACUCUGGCCACAUGUAUGCAGGCAGAAACAGAGUGAAUGAUGUAAGUCAUGACCUUUCAUCAGGAUAUUCUGAUGAAAUAUCAUUGAUCUGAAAUCUUAAUUCUGUUUAUUAGUUCUCAGAUGUUGCCUGACCACCAAAUUGGGGAAUAUUUGCCAGUCAAUUUGUGCGCUUUGUUUGGUGAGCAGAAGAGCAGGAAAAAUAAAUUAUUAUUUUCGCAGUCUGAAGAAGGAUCUCGACACGAAACAUCACCUAUUCCUUUUCUCCAGAGAUGCUGCCUGUCCCGCUGAGUUACUCCAGAAUUUGGUGCCUCUCUUCGGUAUAAACCAGCAUCUGCAGUUCCUUCCUACAAAUGUGGUCUUUUUCUUGAGUUCAUGAAAAUGCAGAUAAAUAGCGUUGUUUGAAUAAAAAGGAAGUACUUCUUAAAUAAUUAGUCUUGUUUAUUAUACAGUUUAUUCCAAAGAUAAUCCAGCUUUUAAUUCACUUGAGAAAAAUAUUGUUGUGUAUUGUAGGUGUAGCCUUUUCUCCUAACCAGGCCUUUUCCUUAAAAGUAGAAUGACUGACACCAGUUAAAUCUGCUUGAUUUCAACUUCACCAAAAAUAUUAGUACAGGUAAUCAUUUUUUUUUUUUGAAGACAGACACAGUCAGCUGGAAUAACUCAAUGGGUCAGACAGCAUCUAUGGAGAAAAGGAAUA